rnacentral:rRNA from 1 species
CACUUGGAGGAUGUAUAGCGAAAGCUAGUUGCAUUAAAUUCGAUUAAUUCGAAGUUAUUGCAGCAUCGACUAUGUCGAAUAAAGUUCUAGGUAGAGUUAUGAUAAUGACAUUUUCUAUCUAUGUGUCUUGACCAAAUCACGUGCCAGCAGUCGCGGUAAUACGUGGAAGACUAGUGUUAUUCAUCUUUAAUAGGUUUAAAGGGUACUUAGACGGUAUUUUUAGCCCAAAUAAAAACAAAGGGUACUAAUUAUACUAGAGUUUUAUGAGUGGGGGGUGCGUACGAAUGGUGUAGAGAUGAAAUUCUGUCAUACCAUUAUGACAGGCGACGGCGAAAGCAACCUUUAGUUAAAAACUGACGUUAAAGGACGAAGGCUUUGUAUCACCAACAGGAUUAGAUACCCAAGCAGUCUGAGCAGACAAUUAUGAAUGCCAUAGAUAAGAAAUCCAUGGAUAAAGAAGAAAACAUGUACUUUUCAGAAUGCCCUUUUUGGGCAUUGGUUUAUUAAAAAAAAAAUAAACUUCUCCUCUUCACUUCUUCAUUUAUUGAAGAAAGAGAGAAGUCGAGAUGAAAAGAAUGGCUCGUAAUCUUAUCUAUCAUCAUCAUCUUUCAGAUGAUGAUGAAUACAUUUCUUUUAAACAGCGACUAUGUCGAAGUUAACAAAAAAAAGAAAUAAAGGAUGUAUUUUUGUCUAUAAAUGAAAGUGUAAGCAUUCCACCUCAAGAGUAAAGUGGCAACGCACAAACUGAAAUCAUUAGACCGUUUCUGAAACCAGUAGUGAAGUUAUGUUGUUUAAUUUGAUGGUCCGCAAAAAACCUUACCACAAUUUGUAUAUUAUUAGCUUAAUACAAGAGUUGCACGGCUGUCUUCAGUUAAAUGUCGUGAGAUUUUGGUUAGUUCCAUAAAAUUAACGUAAACCCUU